rnacentral:rRNA from 1 species
CCUACGGGGCGCAGCAGUGAGGAAUAUUGGUCAAUGGCCGCAGGGCUGAACCAGCCAAGUCGCGUGAGGGAUGACGGUCCUAUGGAUUGUAAACCUCUUUUGUCAGGGAGCAAAGGGCGCCACGUGUGGCGCUUUGCGAGUACCUGAAGAAAAAGCAUCGGCUAACUCCGUGCCAGCAGCCGCGGUAAUACGGAGGAUGCGAGCGUUAUCCGGAUUUAUUGGGUUUAAAGGGUGCGCAGGCGGAAUGUCAAGUCAGCGGUAAAAUUUCGGGGCUCAACCCCGUCGUGCCGUUGAAAAUGGCGUUCUUGAGUGAGCGAGAAGUAUGCGGAAUGCGUGGUGUAGCGGUGAAAUGCAUAGAUAUCACGCAGAACUCCGAUUGCGAAGGCAGCAUACCGGCGCUCAACUGACGCUCAUGCACGAAAGCGUGGGUAUCGAACAGGAUUAGAUACCCGAGUAGUC